rnacentral:rRNA from 1 species
UACGGGGGGGGCAAGCGUUGUUCGGAAUUACUGGGCGUAAAGGGCUCGUAGGCGGCCAACUAAGUCGGAUGUGAAAUCCCCAGGCUCAACCUGGGAACUGCAUCCGAUACUGGAUGGCUUGAAUUCGGGAGAGGGAUGCAGAAUUCCAGGUGUAGCGGUGAAAUGCGUAGAUAUCUGGAGGAAUACCGGUGGCGAAGGCGGGUCUCUGGGCCGAUACUGACGCUGAGGAGCGAAAGCGUGGGGAGCAAACAGG